rnacentral:rRNA from 1 species
ACUCAAAUGAAUUGACGGGGACCCGCACAACCAGUGGAGCGUGUGGUUCAAUUCGAGACAAAACGAAGGACCUCACCAGGGUUUGACAUAACACCGUUUAUUUCCCUAGAAAUAGGGAGAAAUCCGCAAGGAUGGUGCUACAGGUGCUGCAUGGCUGUCGUCAGCUCGUGCCGUGAGGUGUUCCCUUAAGUGGGGAAACGAGCGCAACCCCUAUUUAAUGUUAAAUUUUCAUUAGAGACAGCCCUGAUUUUAUCAGGGAGGAAGGAGGGGAAGACGUCAAGUCAGCACGGCCCUUAUACCCUGGGCCACACACACACUACAAUGGCGAAUAACAAUGGGCUGCAAGCACGCAAGUGCAAGCCAAUCCCUAAAAUUUCGCCUCAGUUCAGAUUGGGGUCUGAAACCCGACCCCAUGAAGCCGGAAUUGGUAGUAAUCGCAGGUCAGCAUACUGCGGUGAAUACGUUCUCGGGUCUUGUACACACCGCCCGU